rnacentral:rRNA from 1 species
AUUUAACCUCAAAUCAGGUAAGAAUACCCGCUGAACUUAAGCAUAUCAAUAAGCGGAGGAAAAGAAAAUAACAAUGAUUCCCUUAGUAACUGCGAGUGAAGAGGGACAAGCUCAAAUUUUAAAUCUGUUAGGUUCAUCUAACCGAGUUGUAAUUUGAAGAGGCGUUUUCUGCGUUUUUGAUCAGUCCAAGUCCUUUGGAAUAAGGCAUCAUGGAGGGUGAGAAUCCCGUUCGGUUGAUCAAAUUUGCUUUAUGAUACGUCAUCUAAGAGUCAAGUUGUUUGGGAUUGCAGCUUAAAAUGGGAGGUAAAUUUCUCCUAAGGCUAAAUAACGGCGAGAGACCGAUAGCGAACAAGUACCGUGAGGGAAAGAUGAAAAGAACUUUGAAAAGAGAGUUAAACAGUACGUGAAAUUGUUGAAAGGGAAACGAUUGAAGCCAGUCGUACCUUCGGGUAAUCAGCCUUUCGGGUGCGAUUCUGUGGAGCGUGGGGAGUUAAACGCCUUCAUGCCUGCAUAUUCGUGCACUUUGGGUGUACUUGCCCGUGUGGUAGGUUAACAUCAAUUUCGGAUGUCAUAAAAUGGCUGGAGGAAUGUAGCUUCGGUCUCGUACUGAAGUGUUAUAGCCUUUGGUAGAUGUGAUGACCGGGAUUGAGGAUUGCAACGAAUACCUUUUGGGCUAUCCGUCUGAUCUCUGAAAGUUGCUCUGGUGCCGAAAGCUUGCUUACGGUUAUCAAAGUUGACGUUCAAAAGGUUAGAACGGGUUAAAUUCGUUAAGGAUGUUGACGUAAUGGCUUUAAACGACCCGUCUUGAAACACGGACCAAGGAGUCUAGCAUAUAUGCGAGUGUU